rfam:Giardia lamblia ATCC 50803 SC_578 genomic scaffold, whole genome shotgun sequence.
UGGAGGCUCGGCGUCUCGUUCUGGGAAAAGCAAGCAGAAGCCCAGUUUGGUCUCUACCGGCGUAUGCAUGUGCAUAGGCUGGCCAAGCAUCGUUGAUAGAAGCUGCUCUUGGUCACCGGAGGGUCUCCGGUUUCAUACGCAGAGACAUCC